rnacentral:rRNA from 1 species
UACGGAGGAUGCAAGCGUUAUCCGGAUUUGUUGGGUUUAAAGGGUGCGUAGGCGGAUAUGUAAGUCAGCGGUGAAACUCACAGGCUCAACCUGUGCCGUGCCGUUGAAACUGUGUAUCUGGAAUGCGGAUGCUGUGGGAGGAAUGUGUAGUGUAGCGGUGAAAUGCAUAGAUAUUACACAGAACACCGAUUGCGAAGGCAUCUCACAAAGCCGUUAUUGACGCUGAGGCACGAAAGUGUGGGAGUCAAACA